AUUGAACGCUGGCGGCAUGCUUUACACAUGCAAGUCGAACGGUAACAGGUCUUCGGAUGCUGACGAGUGGCGAACGGGUGAGUAAUACAUCGGAACGUGCCUAGUAGUGGGGGAUAACUACUCGAAAGAGUGGCUAAUACCGCAUGAGAUCUACGGAUGAAAGCAGGGGAUCGCAAGACCUUGUGCUACUAGAGCGGCCGAUGGCAGAUUAGGUAGUUGGUGGGAUAAAAGCUUACCAAGCCGACGAUCUGUAGCUGGUCUGAGAGGACGAUCAGCCACACUGGGACUGAGACACGGCCCAGACUCCUACGGGAGGCAGCAGUGGGGAAUUUUGGACAAUGGGCGCAAGCCUGAUCCAGCAAUGCCGCGUGCAGGAUGAAGGCCUUCGGGUUGUAAACUGCUUUUGUACGGAACGAAAAGCCCUGGGUUAAUACCCUGGGGUCAUGACGGUACCGUAAGAAUAAGCACCGGCUAACUACGUG
rnacentral:rRNA from 1 species